GUGCCGCAGACCCCUGGGAGGCACCAACACCCCGGAUCGAGAAGCCCGAUGGGAAAGAAUGUCUGGGAAGGACGUCAUGCCCGAGGCUUGCGUGACAGUUUCCACUCACAGUGCGCUCACUCUGAACCUCUGUGCACACGAUGGGCCUGCAUCUCUUCCCACUAUCUGCUAGGAAACACGAGGGGAAGGAAAUGACCGCAGAAGGGAGUGCACCGUGGGGGCAGGAGGUGCUGCGGCCAAUGGGCAGUGCUGGGAGAUGAAACCAACAGCGGCGAUUGCCCCAGAAAGAACUUGGCGCUGCUAAGGCAAUGGCGGCCCGAAAGAGGCCCCUGACGCAUGAGGAGCGGCCGCCGUCUCCAGCCCCAGGCCUCCCUCCCCUGUG
rnacentral:lncRNA from 1 species